rnacentral:lncRNA from 1 species
GAUGUCCAUCCUCAGGGACUGGUAAAACUCGACAUAAUCUAUCAAUAAACUCAUAUCUUGCUCCCCGCCAUUGAAUCAUACCCAUCUAUUUUCAAGUCCCACUAUCCAGCGUAGUAUUACCCUCAAUAGGUGGAUAUGGAUCCAUGAUAUCUAACUCAGUCAGUCCUAUCGCUAAAGAUAUCACUAGAACACCAAUUGCUAUCACAGCCAGUUAUCAAAUAGGGCGGU